GUGAGGAAUAUUGGUCAAUGGGCGCAAGCCUGAACCAGCCAUGCCGCGUGCAGGAAGACGGUCCUAUGGAUUGUAAACUGCUUUUAUUUGGGAAUAAACUCCGGUACGUGUACCGGCCUGAAGGUACCAAAUGAAUAAGCACCGGCUAACUCCGUGCCAGCAGCCGCGGUAAUACGGAGGGUGCAAGCGUUAUCCGGAAUCAUUGGGUUUAAAGGGUCCGCAGGCGGUCUUAUAAGUCAGUGGUGAAAGCCUACAGCUCAACUGUAGAACUGCCAUUGAUACUGUAGGACUUGAAUUCGAUCGAAGUGGGCGGAAUGUGACAUGUAGCGGUGAAAUGCUUAGAUAUGUCACAGAACACCGAUAGCGAGGCAGCUCACUAGGUCUGGAUUGACGCUCAGGGACGAAAGCGUGGGGAGCAAACAGGAUUAGAAACCCUUGUAGUCC
rnacentral:rRNA from 1 species